UUACUGCUAUCGAGGUUCGACUAAGCCAGGCGAGUCGAAUGUAGCAAUACAUGGCGUACUGCUCAGUAACACGUGGACAACCUACCCUUAGGUCGGGGAUAAACCCGGGAAACUGGGUAUAAUACCCGAUAGAUCUCGACUGCUGGAAUGCAUCGAGAUCCAAAGCUCCGGCGCCUAAGGAUGGGUCUGCGGCCUAUCAGGUAGUAGUGGGUGUAGCGUACCUACUAGCCUACGACGGGUACGGGUUGUGAGAGCAAGAGCCCGGAGAUGGAUUCUGAGACACGAAUCCAGGCCCUACGGGGUGCAGCAGGCGCGAAAACUUUACAAUGCUGGAAACAGCGAUAAGGGGACCUCGAGUGCCAGGUUACAAAUCUGGCUGUCGUGAUGCCUAAAAAGCAUUGCAUAGCAAGGGCCGGGCAAGACCGGUGCCAGCCGCCGCGGUAACACCGGCGGCUCGAGUGGUAACCGUUAUUAUUGGGUCUAAAGGGUCUGUAGCCGGCCGGAUAAGUCUCUUGGGAAAUCUGGCAGCUUAACUGUCAGGCUUUCAGGAGAUACUGUCUGGCUCGAGGCCGGGAGAGGUGAGAGGUACUUCAGGGGUAGGGGUGAAAUCUUGUAAUCCUUGAAGGACCACCAGUGGUGAAGGCGUCUCACCAGAACGGACCUGACGGCAAGGGACGAAAGCUAGGGGCACGAACCGGAUUAGAUACCCGGGUAGUCCUAGCCGUAAACGAUACUCGCU
rnacentral:rRNA from 1 species